rnacentral:tRNA from 1 species
UCUUUGGUGGGGUAGUGGGUUAUAAACCUGGCGUUGUCACUGCUAUGGCUCAGGUUCGAUCCCUGACCCAGGAA